rnacentral:rRNA from 1 species
UGCAGUCGAACGGUAACGGGCCUUCGGGUGCCGACGAGUGGCGAACGGGUGAGUAAUGCAUCGGAACGUACCUUUCAGUGGGGGAUAACGUAGCGAAAGUUACGCUAAUACCGCAUAUUCUGUGCGCAGGAAAGCAGGGGAUCGCAAGACCUUGCGCUGAUUGAGCGGCCGAUGUCAGAUUAGCUAGUUGGUGAGGUAAAGGCUCACCAAGGCGACGAUCUGUAGCGGGUCUGAGAGGAUGAUCCGCCACACUGGAACUGAGACACGGUCCAGACUCCUACGGGAGGCAGCAGUGGGGAAUUUUGGACAAUGGGGGCAACCCUGAUCCAGCCAUGCCGCGUGAGUGAAGAAGGCCUUCGGGUUGUAAAGCUCUUUCGGCCGGGAAGAAAUCGCAUGGGCCAAUACCCUGUGCGGAUGACGGUACCGGCAUAAGAAGCACCGGCUAACUACGUGCCAGCAGCCGCGGUAAUACGUAGGGUGCGAGCGUUAAUCGGAAUUACUGGGCGUAAAGCGUGCGCAGGCGGUUUUGUAAGACAGGCGUGAAAUCCCCGGGCUCAACCUGGGAACUGCGCUUGUGACUGCAAGGCUAGAGUACGGCAGAGGGGGGUGGAAUUCCACGUGUAGCAGUGAAAUGCGUAGAGAUGUGGAGGAACACCAAUGGCGAAGGCAG